UGGGGAAUAUUGCACAAUGGGGGAAACCCUGAUGCAGCGACGCCGCGUGAGCGAAGAAGGCUUUCGAGUCGUAAAGCUCUGUCCUAUGAGAAGAUAAUGACGGUAUCAUAGGAGGAAGCCCUGGCUAAAUACGUGCCAGCAGCCGCGGUAAUACGUAUGGGGCGAGCGUUGUCCGGAAUUAUUGGGCGUAAAGGGUACGUAGGCGGUUUUUUAAGUCAGGUGUCAAAGCUUGGAGCUUAACUCCAUUAAGCACUUGAAACUGAAAGACUUGAGUGAAGGAGAGGAAAGUGGAAUUCCUAGUGUAGCGGUGAAAUGCGUAGAUAUUAGGAGGAAUACCGGUGGCGAAGGCGACUUUCUGGACUUUUACUGACGCUCAGGUACGAAAGCGUGGGGAGCAAACAGG
rnacentral:rRNA from 1 species